UGCGGCCCUGCCGACGCAGAAGCGUGAACCCCGCCAGGCCCGGAAGGGAGCAACGGUAGCGUGAAAGCGUGUGGCAGGGCCUUUUCC
rnacentral:SRP_RNA from 1 species